rnacentral:rRNA from 1 species
AUUGAACGCUGGCGGCAGGCCUAACACAUGCAAGUCGAACGGUAGCACAGAGAGCUUGCUCUCGGGUGACGAGUGGCGGACGGGUGAGUAACGUCUGGGAAACUGCCCGAUGGAGGGGGAUAACUACUGGAAACGGUAGCUAAUACCGCAUAACGUCGCAAGACCAAAGUGGGGGACCUUCGGGCCUCACACCAUCGGAUGUGCCCAGAUGGGAUUAGCUAGUAGGUGGGGUAAUGGCUCACCUAGGCGACGAUCCCUAGCUGGUCUGAGAGGAGGACCAGCCACACUGGAACUGAGACACGGGCCAGACUCCUACGGGAGGCAGCAGUGGGGAAUAUUGCACAAUGGGCGCAAGCCUGAUGCAGCCAUGCCGCGUGUAUGAAGAAGGCCUUCGGGUUGUAAAGUACUUUCAGCGGGGAGGAAGGCGGUGAAGUUAAUAACUUCACCGAUUGACGUUACCCGCAGAAGAAGCACCGGCUAACUCCGUGCCAGCCGCCGCAGUAA